rnacentral:rRNA from 1 species
UGCAGUCGAGCGGUAGCACAGGGAGCUUGCUCCUGGGUGACAAGCGGCGGACGGGUGAGUAAUGUCUGGGAAACUGCCUGAUGGAGGGGGAUAACUACUGGAAACGGUAGCUAAUACCGCAUAAUGUCUACGGACCAAAGUGGGGGACCUUCUGGCCUCUUGCCAUCACAUGUGCCCACAUGGGAUUAUCUAUUAGGUGGGGUAAUGGCUCACCUAUGCGACAAUCCCUAUCUGGUCUGAGAGGAUGACCACCCACACUGGAACUGAGACACGGUCCACACUCCUACGGGAGGCGGCAGUGGGGAAUAUUGCGCAAUGGGCGCAAGCCUGAUGCACCCAUGCCGCGUGUGUGAAAAAAGCCUUCGGGUUGUAAAGCACUUUCUCCGAGGAGGAAGGGUUCUGUGUUAAUAGCACUGUGCAUUGACGUUACUCGCACAAAAAACACCGGCUAACUCCGUGCCACCAGCCGCGGUAAUACGGAGGGUGCAAGCGUUAAUCGGAAUUACUGGGCGUAAAGCGCACGCACGCGGUUUGUUAAGUCACAUGUGAAAUCCCCGCGCUUAUCGUGGGAACUGCGUUUGAAACUGUGAAGCUAUAGUCUUGUAUAGAGGGGUAUAAUUCUACGUGUAUCGGUGAAAUGCGUAUAGAUCUGGAGGAAUACCGGUGUCGAAAGCGCCCCCCCUGUACAAAGACUGACACUCACGUGCGAAAGCGUGUGGAGCAAACACGAUUAUAUA